UAAAGUUGGCCGUUGUGAACGCACGAAACAAUCGCAAAAAGUUCGAGUUGAAUCAAAAACUAUAACAAAUACAAAUUUAAAAAAAAACACUGCGUAGAGCGUGUUGGGCAAAAUUCGAUUUUUAUUUUAAUUGAUUUUUUUUUAAUUUCGUAAGAACGUGUAUGUCCUGCGGUGUCACGUGAACUACAAAUCCAACAUGACGUGGGGUGGACGCCAUUUUUAGUAUCAGGUUUAUCUAUUUGAUCGAGGUGAUGUUGAGUAUUAAAUUCCAGCAUAUUAAGUAUAUAUUGUUAUUAGUAUUUACGAAACAAAGAAGUACCAAGAGUGGAAUGUUUUAUCUACGAAGAAGGCUGACAAAUAUCGAGGAAGCUCGAGUACGCUACGAAACGCCAUUGAAAGAAGCAAGAAAAUCCUAGGUGUAGCAGCACCUGCUCUAAACAUAACAAAUGUCUCGCUGCUCCGAAAAUUCUAAAAUAGGCCUCUCAUAAUAAGUUUACAAAUGUAGGCUUCGAAAAUAUUCUAAGAAUUAAUUCCUUACAGUCUUCGUAAUACUACUGAAUAUUUUGGUAUUGGACACCCACCACCUUCAUUAUCAUCAAAUAUUCGAAUUGGUUCUGCUAAUUCCAAAGCUAUUUGACCAAAUUAUCCUCGGUCAUUUCGUUUUGAAUUAAAAUAUCCAUAACGUCCGUUUCUAUUAAUUUCUGAUAGGUACUGGAGUACAAAGACGUUUCUACUUUAUUAACACUUGUUAAAUCAGCAGCGCUACACACAAACACUGAACAAGAUGUACCUUCGAAAAAAUCUAUAUCUCAAAAUCAACACCACCCGAACAAAAAUAACACGCCAUAACCUCUAAAUCUGUCAAAAACGGAAACGGCAAAUGACUUGCGUAUCGGGAGAAAAUUUCGGUCGCACCUGUUUUUUCCCCGAUCUACAAAUUGUCGUAGUUUGGGUGUAGAGCGAUUUGUAAACUCUACAAGAAAGAAAUUCAAUGGAAAGUCCAAAUUCUUAAAGCACGCCAUGAAGUUGGUGAUAAUAAGUAGCGAGAAACGAAUACAGAUCCUUUGUGACAGAUAACGGAGCAAGAAUGGCCCUCGUGAGAAAAACUUUGGAGGAAAAGACAGACUCUUACGACUGCUCUGCACAUAUUUUGGAUUUACUGUGCAAAGAUUUACAAAUACCAGACGUCAAAGAACAUGUAGUCCAAAUUAUUAAGUAUUUUCGCGAUAACAGUCCGGCUAAAUUGAAAUUCAAUCAAGCAGCUUGGGCUUAAACAUGCAGCACAAGAAUAUUUAAGCAUUUUAAAGCCAAUAUCGGCUGCUCGUGACGUUUUUCACUGCUGUAGAGCAGUGAAAACAUUUACAAUAUAUCUCAUUUUAUAACCUAUAUGUUGAACCCCUAAAAGCAAAAACACGAGUGAACACCCGAAGAAAAGUAUUUGGCUUUAGAAACAAUUAAUAAGGUUGAAUGCCCGCAGUUUAAUAAUGAAAAACCUAAAUGAAUGAGAUUUGGAAUAUAUAAGCAGGUACAGAGUAAAACGCGAACCAGUUUCAGUCAAGCUCUGAAGAAGCCAACCGGAUGAUUGGCGAAACUUCAGCAAGUUUGGAAUUGUGGAAGUUUCUUUGAAAGACUAUGUUUUAGUUUCUUAUGUCUGUGUUGCAGUUAUUUUAUUUAUUUUUUUUAAUUCAAAUAAUGAGAUUAUUCCCAAUCAAUAUUUUUUGUAAAUGACAUUAUAUUCAUUAAAAUUCAUAUUACUGGGUGAACCUUUUGUUUUUAUUAAACGAACAAAAUUUUUUAGGAUCUUUUUUAAUGUCAUAUUCAAUUUUCGGUAUAUAGCUUUGAGAGGAGCGAUACAUAUUACAAUUACAAUAACGUAUUGUAAU